GAUGAACGCUAGCGGCAGGCUUAAUACAUGCAAGUCGAGGGGUAGCAAGAUUGUAGCAAUACAAUUGUUGACAACCGGCAAACGGGUGCGGAACACGUACACAACCUUCCUAUAAGUGGGGAAUAGCCCAGAGAAAUUUGGAUUAAUACCCCGUAACAUAACGAUGUGGCAUCACAUUGUUAUUAUAGCUUCGGCGCUUAUUGAUGGGUGUGCGGCUGAUUAGAUAGUUGGCGGGGUAACGGCCCACCAAGUCUACGAUCAGUAGCUGAUGUGAGAGCAUGAUCAGCCACACGGGCACUGAGACACGGGCCCGACUCCUACGGGAGGCAGCAGUAAGGAAUAUUGGUCAAUGGACGCAAGUCUGAACCAGCCAUGCCGCGUGAAGGAUUAAGGUCCUCUGGAUUGUAAACUUUUUUUAUCUGGGACGAAAAAAGGCUUUUCUAAGUCACUUGACGGUACCAGAUGAAUAAGCACCGGCUAACUCCGUGCCAGCCGCCGCCGUAAGAC
rnacentral:rRNA from 1 species